GACGAACGCUGGCGGCGUGCCUAAUACAUGCAAGUAGAACGCUGAAGGAGGAGCUUGCUUCUCUGGAUGAGUUGCGAACGGGUGAGUAACGCGUAGGUAACCUGCCUGGUAGCGGGGGAUAACUAUUGGAAACGAUAGCUAAUACCGCAUAAGAGUAGAUGUUGCAUGACAUUUGCUAAAAAGGUGCAAUUGCAUCACUACCAGAUGGACCUGCGUUGUAUUAGCUAGUUGGGGGGGUAACGGCUAACCAAGGCGACGAGACAUAACCGACCUGAGAGGGUGAUCGGCCAAACUGGGACUGAGACACGGCCCAGAAUGCGACGGGCAGCAGCAGUAGGGAAUCUUCGGCAAUGGACGGAAGUCUGACCGAGCAACGCCGCGUGAGUGAAGAAGGUUUUCGGAUCGUAAAGCUCUGUUGUAAGAGAAGAACGAGUGUGAGAGUGGAAAGUUCACACUGUGACGGUAUCUUACCAGAAAGGGACGGCUAACUACGUG
rnacentral:rRNA from 1 species